rnacentral:rRNA from 1 species
CCUACGGGUGGCAGCAGUGGGGAAUAUUGGGCAAUGGAGGCAACUCUGACCCAGCAACGCCGCGUGAAUGAUGAAGGUCUUCGGAUUGUAAAGUUCUGUGAUGGGGGAUGCACACAAUGACGGUACCUGAUUAAGAAGCCCCGGCUAACUACGUGCCAACAGCCGCGGUAAUACGUAGGGGGCAAGCGUUAUCCGGAUUUACUGGGUGUAAAGGGAUCGUAGGCGGCAGCGGAAGUCUGACGUGAAAUGCCGGGGCUUAAACCCGGAACUGCUUUGGAAACUGUGCAGCUAGAGUGGAGGAGAGGUAAGUGGAAUUCCUAGGGUAGCGGUGAAAUGCGUAGAUAUUAGGAGGAACACCAGUGGCGAAGGCGGCUUACUGGACUGUAACUGACGUUGAGGCUCGAAAGCGUGGGGAGCAAACAGGAUUAGAUACCCUAGUAGUC